rnacentral:rRNA from 1 species
CUGGCUCAGGAUGAACGCUAGCUACAGGCUUAACACAUGCAAGUCGAGGGGCAGCAUUGGGAUAGCUUGCUAUCCAGAUGGCGACCGGCGCACGGGUGAGUAACGCGUAUCCAACCUUCCCUAUAGUAGAGAAUAGCCCGGCGAAAGUCGGAUUAAUGCUCUAUGUUGUGUUUUGAGGACAUCUGACGAACACCAAAGGUUCACCGCUAUAGGAUGGGGAUGCGUCUGAUUAGCUUGUUGGCGGGGUAACGGCCCACCAAGGCGACGAUCAGUAGGGGUUCUGAGAGGAAGGUCCCCCACAUUGGUACUGAGACACGGACCAAACUCCUACGGGAGGCAGCAGUGAGGAAUAUUGGUCAAUGGGCGAGAGCCUGAACCAGCCAAGUAGCGUGCAGGAAUGACUGCCCUAUGGGUUGUAAACUGCUUUUAUCAGGGAAUAAAGUGCGGCACGUGUGCCGUUUUGUAUGUACCUGAUGAAUAAGGACCGGCUAAUUCCGUGCCAGCCGCCGC